ensembl:snoRNA
CCCAUACUGUUGUCAAUGAUGGAAUCUUGUUCAACUGAAAAUAAUGAUGUUAUUCAGCCUUUCGUCACUACCACUGAGACAACACAUGGG